ACGUAGUGUGUUGGACGCGCAAUAUUUCAAGCCUCACAUAGGUCAGACUAUAAACUUUUGCUCUGGAGAAAUGCCAAGGACUUUUAUCAAUUUUUAACCAGCCUCCACUCCACACACCUCAUUCCCGACCACCUACUUCUCUACUUCUCUCUCAAUCAAUUCCAUUUGCCAAUUCUUCAACCCAACCACAUCCUCAAAUUUUGUAUUAUUGAAUUUUCCUGUCACCUCACCCCCCCUGACCCACUCUUUCACUUUCUAAUCCACUUGCACUAUCCAUUUCUCCUCUCUAUUUCUAUCCCGCUUAUCAAUCACCACUUCUCAUUUUUUUACCCCCCAUUUCGUUCCUAUGUAAACAGGAGGAUGAGUUGAUGUAUUCAGACACAUUGCGUAAAGCGAAGAUAUACAUCUAACCUCAGCGGGAUCCCUCUGCUGGUUCGUCAGAGGAGCAGCGGAUCCGGUGGGCCCGUGGGAGGGACGUCACGGGGCCGUCGAAACAGUACCGUUGGGGGCCCUCGACGGCAGCUCUCCAGACGGGUGUCACGCAGAGACUCCCGUAGGGGCUCCAAGGGCCGCCGACGUAGCUCCGUGCACCCGCCGGUCCACCUGCCGAAGGACGGUGAAGCAAACGAAGAUGACAAGGAAGAGAAACCUAAGAACCCGAUCCGCAGACUCUCCCGACUGCUCUCGAACGCGGGCCCGGCCCUCGUCAGACGCGUCUCCAAGCUCAGGAGAAAGAGCCUUGCACUGGUUGAAGGAGGUAAGAUUUGACAACUUAUAUGAAACUUUAAGGUAGAGUACCAUAUUAUAAAGUGAUGACUGGAACAAGUAGUAAAAUGCAUCACACGAGCAUGAAAACAGAAGCAUGAUUGUGAGAAUAUUGGAAAAUGAUUUGUUGUUUAUUAAAUUUAUAUGACAACCUACCAGUUGGUUCUUCAGCGCAUGCAUUACCUCUGUUAGUUAUCACUCUUAUUAUACCCGUAUAUGUAUCCUAAGUCACAGCCUGUUACCCGAGUCCUAGUUGCAACAGGAGUUAUAACUGUUUAUCUAAAGCUGUGACUUUCAAUCGGACCUUCGUCUUAGAUCUGUGUAUGUAUAGCUGUAUAUUAUGUGUUACUUCAUCUUGUAUCAAAGAAUCGGGCAAGAAUGACCUCGUUAACAUUUUUCACACCCAUCUCUGUCAGUAUAUUUCGCUAAUGGACAUUUUUGUUUUAAUGGACAUUAUUAUUAACUUUAGUAAAUAAGUCUACGGCCCAGCUUUGCCACAUUUCAUUUACUAAAAUAAUA